rnacentral:rRNA from 1 species
AUUGAACGCUGGCGGCAGGCUUAACACAUGCAAGUCGAACGCCCCGCAAGGGGAGUGGCAGACGGGUGAGUAACGCGUGGGAACGUGCCCUUCGCUUCGGAAUAGCCCCGGGAAACUGGGAGUAAUACCGAAUACGCCGUAUUGGGAAAGAUUUAUCGGCGAAGGAUCGGCCCGCGUUAGAUUAGCUAGUUGGCGGUGUAAUGGACCACCAAGGCUACGAUCUAUAGCUGGUCUGAGAGGAUGAUCAGCCACACUGGGACUGAGACAUGGCCCAGACUCCUACGGGAGGCAGCAGUGGGGAAUCUUGGACAAUGGGCGCAAGCCUGAUCCAGCCAUGCCGCGUGAGUGAAGAAGGCCUUAGGGUUGUAAAACUCUUUCGCCGGAGAAGAUAAUGACGGUAUCCGGAGAAGAAGCCCCGGCUAACUUCGUGCCAGCAGCCGCCGUAACAC